rnacentral:rRNA from 1 species
CCUACGGGUGGCAGCAGUGGGGAAUAUUUGGCAAUGGGCGCAAGCCUGACCCAGCAACGCCGCGUGAAGGAAGAAGGCUUUCGGGUUGUAAACUUCUUUUGUCAGGGACGAAGCAAGUGACGGUACCUGACGAAUAAGCCACGGCUAACUACGUGCCAGCAGCCGCGGUAAUACGUAGGUGGUAAGCGUUAUUCGUAUUUACUGGGUGGAAAGGGCGUGUAGGCGGGACUGCAAGUCAGAUGUGAAAACCACGGGCUCAACCUGUGGCCUGCAUUUGAUACUGUGGUGCUUGAGUACUGGAGAGGCAGACGGAAUUCCUGGUGUAGCGGUGAAAUGCGUAGAUAUUAGGAGGAACACCAGUGGCGAAGGCGGUCUGCUGGACAGCAACUGACGCUGAGGCGCGAAAGCGUGGGGAGCAAAAAGGAUUAGAUACCCGAGUAGUC